rnacentral:rRNA from 1 species
GACGAACGCUGGCGGCGUGCCUAAUACAUGCAAGUCGAGCGGACUGAUUAAGAGCUUGCUCUUAUGACGUUAGCGGCGGACGGGUGAGUAACACGUGGGCAACCUGCCCUGUAGAUCGGGAUAACACCGAGAAAUCGGUGCUAAUACCGGGUAAUAUCUGAGAUCACAUGAUCUUAGGUUAAAAGAUGGCUCCGGCUAUCACUACAGGAUGGGCCCGCGGCGCAUUAGCUAGUUGGUAAGGUAAUGGCUUACCAAGGCGACGAUGCGUAGCCGACCUGCGAGGGUGAUCGGCCACACUGGGACUGAGACACGGCCCAGACUCCUACGGGAGGCAGCAGUAGGGAAUCUUCCGCAAUGGACGAAAGUCUGACGGAGCAACGCCGCGUGAGUGAUGAAGGGUUGCGGCUCGUAAAGCUCUGUUGUUAGGGAAGAAACAGUACCGAACGAACUAGGUCGGUACCUUGACGGUACCUAACCAGAAAGCCACGGCUAACUACGUG